UCGGGAAUAUUGCGCAAUGGAGGAAACUCUGACGCAGUGACGCCGCGUGCAGGAAGAAGGUUUUCGGAUUGUAAACUGCUUUAGACAGGGAAGAAACAAGACAGUACCUGUAGAAUAAGCUCCGGCUAACUACGUGCCAGCAGCCGCGGUAAUACGUAGGGAGCAAGCGUUAUCCGGAUUUAUUGGGUGUAAAGGGUGCGUAGACGGGAAGUCAAGUUAGUUGUGAAAUCCCUCGGCUCAACUGAGGAACUGCAACUAAAAUCUAACUUUCUUGAGUGCUGGAGAGGAAAGUGGAAUUCCUAGUGUAGCGGUGAAACUGCGUAGAUAUUAGGAGGAACACCAGUGGCGAAGGCGACUUUCUGGACAGUAACUGACGUUGAGGCACGAAAGUGUGGGGUAGCAAACAGGAUUAGAUACCC
rnacentral:rRNA from 1 species